rnacentral:rRNA from 1 species
CUGCAGCUCAAGUGGUGGCCGCUAUUAUUGGGCCUAAAACGUCCGUAGCCUGUUUAGUAAAUGCUUGGGUAAAUUGUGUAGCUUAACUAUACGAAUACCGGGUAGACUGCUAAACUUGGGACCGGGAGAGGCUAGAGGUACUCCUGGGGUAGAGGUGAAAUUCUGUAAUCCUGGGGGGACCACCAGUGGCGAAGGCGUCUAGCUAGAACGGGUCUGACGGUGAGGAACGAAGCCCUGGGGCGCAAACCGGAUUAGAUACCCGAGUAGUCC